rnacentral:rRNA from 1 species
UACGUAGGGACCAAGCGUUGUUCGGAUUUACUGGGCGUAAAGGGCGCGUAGGCGGCUUGACAAGUCACUUGUGAAAUCUCCGGGCUUAACUCGGAACGGCCAAGUGAAACUGUCAUGCUAGAGUGCAGAAGGGGCAAUCGGAAUUCUUGGUGUAGCGGUGAAAUGCGCAGAUAUCAGGAGGAACACCGGUGGCGAAGGCGGGUCUCUGGGCCGAUACUGACGCUGAGGAGCGAAAGCGUGGGGAGCGAACAGG